CGAACGGGUGAGUAACGCGUGAGGAACCUGCCUCAAAGAGGGGGACAACAGUUGGAAACGACUGCUAAUACCGCAUAAGCCCACGGGUCGGCAUCGACCAGAGGGAAAAGGAGCAAUCCGCUUUGAGAUGGCCUCGCGUCCGAUUAGCUAGUUGGUGAGGUAACGGCCCACCAAGGCAACGAUCGGUAGCCGGACUGAGAGGUUGAACGGCCACAUUGGGACUGAGACACGGCCCAGACUCCUACGGGAGGCAGCAGUGGGGAAUAUUGCACAAUGGGGGAAACCCUGAUGCAGCGACGCCGCGUGGAGGAAGAAGGUCUUCGGAUUGUAAACUCCUGUUGUUGAGGAAGAUAAUGACGGUACUCAACAAGGAAGUGACGGCUAACUACGUGCCAGCAGCCGCGGUAAAACGUAGGUCACAAGCGUUGUCCGGAAUUACUGGGUGUAAAGGGAGCGCAGGCGGGAAGACAAGUUGGAAGUGAAAUCUAUGGGCCCAACCCAUAAACUGCUUUCAAAACUGUUUUUCUUGAGUAG
rnacentral:rRNA from 1 species